rnacentral:rRNA from 1 species
UAGAGAGAGACAUGCGCGCAUAUCAAUAAGCGGAGGAAAAGAAACUAACAAGGAUUCCCCUAGUAACGGCGAGUGAAGCGGGAAGAGCUCAAAUUUGAAAUCUUAAAGGGUUUCCCUUUACGAAUUGUAGUUUAAAGAAGUGUUUUCUGUUGAGGUUUUAGGUAAAAGUUCUUUGGAAUAGGACAUCAUAGAGGGUGAGAAUCCCGUAUUUGACCUUUACUUUCAACUUUGUGAUACACUUUCAAAGAGUCGGAUUGUUUGGGAAUGCAGUCCAAAAUGGGUGGUAAAUUUCAUCUAAAGCUAAAUAAUGGCGAGAGACCGAUAGCGAACAAGUACCGUGAGGGAAAGAUGAAAAGAACUUUGAAAAGAGAGUUAAACAGUACGUGAAAUUGUCAAAAGGGAAGCGUUUGACACCAGUGUUGUUUUUCUGAAAAUCAAUUAAAGAACUGUUUAUGCUAAGUUGUUUAGACUUUAUCAGCUAACUGUUUAGUUUUGAGCUUUUCUUUAAUGCACUUUUCAGUUAACAAGUCAACAUCAAUUUCUUUUGCUGUAAAAGAGCUUGAGGAAGGUGGCUUGAGAUUCGUCUUAAGUGUUUAUAGCCUCUUGCCUAUGCAGUCGGAGAGAUUGAGGUCUGCAGCGUAGAUCCUUCGGGGCUAAAUGCAUUUGUGCUAAGUUAUAGCAUUUUAUAGACAACUUGUUGACUAUGAUUUGUCUUGUAGCUUACUCGCUUAUGUUAUUUUACCUACGCUUAGGAUGUUGACGCAUGAGAUAUACGC